CCUACGGGUGGCAGCAGUGAGGAAUAUUGGUCAAUGGGCUUACGCCUGAACCAGCCAAGCCGCGUGAAGGAAGAAGGCGUUCGGGUUGUAAGCUUCUUUUCUCAGGGACGAACCAAGUGACGGUACCUGAGUAAUAAGCCACGGCUAACUACGUGCCAGCAGCCGCGGUAAUACGUAGGGGGCAAUCGUUAUCCGGAUUUACUGGGUGUAAAGGGCGUGUAGGCGGGAAAGCAAGUCAGAUGUGAAAACCAUGGGCUCAACCUGUGGCCUGCAUUUGAAACUGGUUUUCUUGAGUACUGUAGAGGCAGAUGGAAGUCCUAGUGUAGCGGUGAAAUGCGUAGAUAUUAGGAGGAACACCAGUGGCGAAGGCGGUCUGCUGGACAGCAACUGACGCUGAGGCGCGAAAGCGUGGGGAGCAAACAGGAUUAGAUACCCGGGUAGUC
rnacentral:rRNA from 1 species